AACGAACGCUGGCGGCAUGUCUAACACAUGCAAGUCGAACGAGACCUUCGGGUCUAGUGGCGCACGGGUGCGUAACGCGUGGGAACCUUCCCUUAGGUUCGGAAUAACUCCCCGAAAGGGGUGCUAAUACCGGAUAAUGUCUUCGGACCAAAGAUUUAUCGCCUUGGGAUGGGCCCGCGUUGGAUUAGCUAGUUGGUAGGGUAAAAGCCUACCAAGGCGACGAUCCAUAGCUGGUCUGAGAGGAUGAUCAGCCACACUGGGACUGAGACACGGCCCAGACUCCUACGGGAGGCAGCAGUGGGGAAUAUUGGACAAUGGGCGAAAGCCUGAUCCAGCAAUGCCGCGUGAGUGAUGAAGGCCUUAGGGUUGUAAAGCUCUUUUACCCGGGAUGAUAAUGACAGUACCGGGAGAAUAAGCUCCGGCUAACUCCGUG
rnacentral:rRNA from 1 species